rnacentral:misc_RNA from 1 species
GAUGAAGAACGUAGCGAAAUGCGAUACUUGGUGUGAAUUGCAGAAUCCCGUGAACCAUCGAGUCUUUGAACGCAAGUUGCGCCCGAAGCCAUUAGGCCGAGGGCACGCCUGCCUGGGCGUCACACGUCGUUGCCCCCCCAUCUACUCCUUCGGGAUUGCGGGGGGCGGAUGAUGGCCUCCCGUGCGCCUCGCCGCGCGGUUGGCAUAAAUGCCAAGUCCUCGGCGACGCACGCCACGACAAUCGGUGGUUGCGAAACCUCGGUUGCCCGUCGUGUGCGGUCGUCGCGCAUCGAGGGCUCGAAAAAAUUGCCGGGUUCCGGCUCGGCUUUCAACGCGACCCCAGGUCAGGCGGGGUUACCCGCUGAAUUUAAGCACAUCAAUAAGCGGAGGA